UACGGGGGAGCAAGCGUUGUUCGGAUUUACUGGGCGUAAAGGGCGCGUAGGCGGCCAGCACAAGUCAGUUGUGAAAUCUCCGAGCUUAACUCGGAAAGGUCAACUGAUACUGUGCGGCUAGAGUGCGGAAGGGGCAACUGGAAUUCUUGGUGUAGCGGUGAAAUGCGUAGAUAUCAAGAGGAACACCUGCGGCGAAAGCGGCGCACUGGACCAUAACUGACGCUGAGGCGCGAAAGCUAGGGGAGCAAACAGG
rnacentral:rRNA from 1 species